CAGUAGCCGCGGUAAUACGUAGGUGGCAAGCGUUGUCCGGAGUUAUUGGGCGUAAAGGGCUCGCAGGCGGUUUCUUAAGUCUGAUGUGAAAGCCCCCGGCUCAACCGGGGAGGGUCAUUGGAAACUGGGAAACUUGAGUGCAGAAGAGGAGAGUGGAAUUCCACGUGUAGCGGUGAAAUGCGUAGGGAUGUGGAGGAACACCAGUGGCGAAGGCGACUCUCUGGUCUGUAACUGACGCUGAGGAGCGAAAGCGUGGGGAGCGAACAGGAUUAGAUACCCCGGUAGUCCCUGUCUCUUAUAC
rnacentral:rRNA from 1 species